ACAGACCUUUUCAAAUUCUACAUCUUUAACUGCAAAUAAGAAAACUAUGGAAAAUUUAGAAAACUAUUUUCUACUAAAAAAAAAAAAUUGAAACCAUUUUGGGACCUGUAUGUAGCUCAGUAUACCUCACCAAAAGGAAAAGGGUGCAAGUCCUUAAAAAUUAGCAUGUGGUUACUGUGUGAUUUGGGGCUAUUUUUAAAAUGGAAGUCCUGACUUAUAAAAACAAACUGCUCUUUUUAUAUAUUUAGGGCUCAGUUCACUAAAACGUUUAAAUUCUUGGCUUCACUCUUUAAGCCUACUACAAAGAUCACAUUAGAAUUCAUUUUAAUAGACAUCAUGAGCGCAGUAUCCAAUCUCCUGUGAUCACGCUGGGCUCUUUUAUUAUGAGAAUCGCAGGGAGCAGAGCCCGAGGCUGCAGAACACUCAUGGGGUGUCCCUAAGGCUGGGGACACUGCCAGCUCUAUUGUUUAUGGAAUGUUCGCUCCACCUCUAUCUGCGGUGUGCGAUUGGUGUUGACUUUUGAGAAACUCCGUCUUCGCCCCGCUCUCCCAGCUGGAGAAAAACCUGUCGU
rnacentral:lncRNA from 1 species